rnacentral:tRNA from 1 species
AGGGAUGUAGAUCAGUGGUAGAGCACUUGCCUAGCAUGCAUGAAGCCCAGGGUUCAAUCCCCAGCAGUGCCA